rnacentral:tRNA from 2 species
GAAGUAUGGUGAUCAAGUAAAAGCCGCUAACUUUUUUCUUUUAAUGGUUAAAUUCCAUUUAUGCUUCU